rnacentral:rRNA from 1 species
GACGAACGCUGGCGGCGUGCCUAAUACAUGCAAGUCGAGCGGACAGAAGGGAGCUUGCUCCCGGAUGUUAGCGGCGGACGGGUGAGUAACACGUGGGUAACCUGCCUGUAAGACUGGGAUAACUCCGGGAAACCGGAGCUAAUACCGGAUAGUUCCUUGAACCGCAUGGUUCAAGGAUGAAAGACGGUUUCGGCUGUCACUUACAGAUGGACCCGCGGCGCAUUAGCUAGUUGGUGGGGUAAUGGCUCACCAAGGCGACGAUGCGUAGCCGACCUGAGAGGGUGAUCGGCCACACUGGGACUGAGACACGGCCCAGACUCCUACGGGAGGCAGCAGUAGGGAAUCUUCCGCAAUGGACGAAAGUCUGACGGAGCAACGCCGCGUGAGUGAUGAAGGUUUUCGGAUCGUAAAGCUCUGUUGUUAGGGAAGAACAAGUGCGAGAGUAACUGCUCGCACCUUGACGGUACCUAACCAGAAAGCCACGGCUAACUACGUGCCAGCAGCCGCGGUAAUACGUAGGUGGCAAGCGUUGUCCGGAAUUAUUGGGCGUAAAGGGCUCGCAGGCGGUUUCUUAAGUCUGAUGUGAAAGCCCCCGGCUCAACCGGGGAGGGUCAUUGGAAACUGGGAAACUUGAGUGCAGAAGAGGAGAGUGGAAUUCCACGUGUAGCGGUGAAAUGCGUAGAGAUGUGGAGGAACACCAGUGGCGAAGGCGACUCUCUGGUCUGUAACUGACGCUGAGGAGCGAAAGCGUGGGGAGCGAACAGGAUUAGAUACCCUGGUAGUCCACGCCGUAAACGAUGAGUGCUAAGUGUUAGGGGGUUUCCGCCCCUUAGUGCUGCAGCUAACGCAUUAAGCACUCCGCCUGGGGAGUACGGUCGCAAGACUGAAACUCAAAGGAAUUGACGGGGGCCCGCACAAGCGGUGGAGCAUGUGGUUUAAUUCGAAGCAACGCGAAGAACCUUACCAGGUCUUGACAUCCUCUGACAACCCUAGAGAUAGGGCUUUCCCUUCGGGGACAGAGUGACAGGUGGUGCAUGGUUGUCGUCAGCUCGUGUCGUGAGAUGU